rnacentral:rRNA from 1 species
AGAGUUUGAUCCUGGCUCAGGUUGAACGCUGGCGGCAUGCUUUACACAUGCAAGUCGAACGGUAACAGGCCUUCGGGUGCUGACGAGUGGCGAACGGGUGAGUAAUGCAUCGGAACGUGCCCGGUAGUGGGGGAUAGCCCGGCGAAAGCCGNAUUAAUACCGCAUACGACCUACGGGUGAAAGGGGGGGAUCGCAAGACCUCUCGCUAUUGGAGCGGCCGAUGUCAGAUUAGGUAGUUGGUGGGGUAAAGGCCUACCAAGCCUGCGAUCUGUAGCUGGUCUGAGAGGACGACCAGCCACACUGGGACUGAGACACGGCCCAGACACCUACGGGUGGCUGC